rnacentral:rRNA from 1 species
UAAUUGGAGGCUGGGUAUGAAUGGUGGGAAGAAAUAUUAAUUGUUUCAUUUAAAUUUUUUUAGAAUUUUUUUUUUUAGUUAAAAAGCUAAAAUUUUAUUAAAAGACGAGAAGACCCUAUAAAUCCUUUAUAUUUUAUUUAUAUUAUUUAUAUAGAUUAUAUUUAAAUAUUAUAAAAAAAAAUAUUUUAUUGGGGUGAUAUUAAAAUUUAAAAAACUUUUAAUUUUUAAGUUACAUAAAUUAAUGAAUUUUUGAUCCAUUAUUAAUGAUAAAAAAUUUAAGUUUCUUUAGGGAUAACAGCGUAAUUUU